GAUGAAGAACGUAGCGAAAUGCGAUAAGUAAUGUGAAUUGCAGAAUUCAGUGAAUCAUCGAGUCUUUGAACGCACAUUGCGCCCCCUGGUAUUCCGGGGGGCAUGCCUGUCCGAGCGUCAUUGCUGCCCUCAAGCACGGCUUGUGUGUUGGGCCUCCGUCCUCCUCCCGGGGGACGGGCCCGAAAGGCAGCGGCGGCACCGCGUCCGGUCCUCGAGCGUAUGGGGCUUCGUCACCCGCUCUUGUAGGCCCGGCCGGCGCUUGCCGACACAUCAAUCUUUUUUCCAGGUUGACCUCGGAUCAGGUAGGGAUACCCGCUGAGCUUAAGCAUAUCAAUAAGCGGAGGA
rnacentral:misc_RNA from 1 species